ACGGCCCUCGGCAGCGAUGGCACUGAAGGACUACGCGCUAGAGAAGGGUACGGGUCUACGAGCCUGGGAGGGCGUCCUGCGCGGGGAGCCUCCCGGGGAACACCUGUUGGUAAAAGGUUAAGAAGUUCUUACAAGAGUUCUACCAGGAUGAUGAACUUGGGAAGAAGCAGUUCAAGUAUGGGAACCAGUUGGUUCGGCUGGCCCAUCGGGAACAGGUGGCUCUGUAUGUGGACCUGGACGACGUAGCCGAGGAUGACCCCGAGUUGGUGGACUCAAUUUGUGAGAAUGCCAGGCGCUACGCGAAGCUCUUUGCUGAUGCCGUACAAGAGCUGCUGCCUCAGUACAAGGAGAGGGAAGUGAGUGGUUAGAGAACAAUGGCAAACAAAGGGCGAGGCGUUUAAGCUUCUGUAGAGAGGCUGCUCAGAUACUGAUGUUUUCUGAGCAGGCAGAAAGGAGGGGCACUUCUGCCUGGUGUUCUCUG
rnacentral:sRNA from 1 species